UACGUAGGGUGCGAGCGUUGUCCGGAAUUACUGGGCGUAAAGAGCUCGUAGGUGGUUUGUCGCGUUGUUCGUGAAAACUCACAGCUUAACUGUGGGCGUGCGGGCGAUACGGGCAGACUGGAGUACUGCAGGGGAGACUGGAAUUCCUGGUGUAGCGGUGGAAUGCGCAGAUAUCAGGAGGAACACCGGUGGCGAAGGCGGGGUCUCUGGGGCAGUAACUGACGCUGGAGGAGCGAAAAGCGUGGGGGAGCGAACAGG
rnacentral:rRNA from 1 species